rnacentral:tRNA from 1 species
GAAAUUGUGCCUGAAACUAAGGGCCACUUUGAUAGAGUGUACUAUGAGGGUUAAAAUCCCUCCAACUUCU